rnacentral:rRNA from 1 species
AUACGGAGGAUCCGGGCGUUAUCCGGAUUUAUUGGGUUUAAAGGGUGCGCAGGCGGCCAUUUAAGUCAGCGGUUAAAUCGUGGGGCUCAACCCCAUUCUGCCGUUGAUACUGGGUGGCUUGAUUGCGGUCGAGGUUGGCGGAAUUCGUUGUGUAGCGGUGAAAUGCAUAGAUAUGACGAAGAACACCGAUUGCGUAGGCAGCUGACCAGACCGCAAAUGACGCUCAUGCACGAAAGUGCAGGGAUCGAACAGGAUUAGAUACCCUGGUAGUCCGCACAGUAAACGAUGAAUACUUGUUUUCGGCGAUAUAAUGUCGGAGGCAAAGCGAAAGCGAUAAGUAUUCCACCUGGGGAGUACGCCGGCAACGGUGAAACUCAAAUGAAUUGGCGGGG